rnacentral:rRNA from 1 species
AACGAACGCUGGCGGCAGGCCUAACACAUGCAAGUCGAACGCCCCGCAAGGGGAGUGGCAGACGGGUGAGUAACGCGUGGGAACGUACCCUUCGGUUCGGAAUAACCCGGGGAAACGUCGGGCUAAUACCGGAUACGUCCGCAAGGAGAAAGAUUUAUCGCCGAAGGAUCGGCCCGCGUCGGAUUAGCUAGUUGGUGGGGUAAUGGCCCACCAAGGCGACGAUCCGUAGCUGGUCUGAGAGGAUGAUCAGCCACACUGGGGACUGAGACACGGCCCAGACUCCUACGGGAGGCAGCAGUGGGGAAUUUUUGGACAAUGGGGGCAACCCUGAUCCAGCCAUGCCGCGUGAGUGAAG